UGGAGUUCCGGGGAGCGGCUACAUGAAAUCAAAUGUGUUUCAGUGAGUGGUCGUGUCAAGGCACGGAAUCGAUCUAUCAAGAGUGUUUGCCGUCUCAAGUGACUGAGUGAGUGAUCAUGUAGAUUUUGUUAUUGUGCGAAUUAAGAGUGUUGGCCGUCUCGAAUGACUGAAUGAGUGAUCAUGUGAUUUUUUUAUAGUGCGAAUCAAGAGUGUUUCUCGUCCCGAGUGAUCGAGUGAGUGAUCAUGUGAGUUUUGUUAUAGUAUGAAUCAAGAUUGUUUGCCGUCCCGAGUGACUGAGUGAGUGAUCAUAUGAAUUUUGUUAUAGUGUGAAUUAAGAGCG
rnacentral:lncRNA from 1 species